rnacentral:rRNA from 1 species
GACGAACGCUGGCGGCGUGCUUAACACAUGCAAGUCGAACGGAAAGGCCCUGCUUUUGUGGGGUUCUCGAGUGGCGAACGGGUGAGUAACACGUGAGUAACCUGCCCUUGACUUUGGGAUAACUUCAGGAAACUGGGGCUAAUACCGGAUAGGAGCUCCUGCUGCAUGGUGGGGGUUGGAAAGGUUCGGCGGUGGGGGAUGGACUCGCGGCUUAUCAGCUUGUUGGUGGGGUAGUGGCUUACCAAGGCUUUGACGGGUAGCCGGCCUGAGAGGGUGACCGGCCACCUUGGGACUGAGAUACGGCCCAGACUCCUACGGGAGGCAGCAGUGGGGAAUAUUGCACCAUGGGCGGAAGCCUGAUGCAGCAACGCCGCGUGCGGGAUGACGGCCUUCGGGUUGUAAACCGCUUUCGCCUGUGACGAAGCGUGAGUGACGGUAAUGGGUAAAGAAGCACCGGCUAACUACGUG